GGCCAGAAGAAAUUAACCAUGUGCC
rnacentral:piRNA from 1 species